rnacentral:misc_RNA from 1 species
CGGCAAAUGAACAGUCCAAAAACGAGAAGCAAUAGGUGCAUGGUGCAGCCCACAGAGGUCUACCAUGGCGCCGCCACUAGUUUUCAACGUGCACAGGUGCGAACCAGAGCUGAUCAUCCCAGCCAAGCCCACCCCUCACGACUUGAAACCCUUGUCGGACAUCGACGAUCAAGAUGGUCUCCGAGUCCAACUCCCACUCAUCUAUUUCUAUCCUUACCACCCUUCAAUGCAAAUACGAGAUCCCCUUCAGGUCCUUAAACAAGCACUUGCAGAAGCUCUAGUGUUUUAUUAUCCGUUCGCCGGUAGGAUAAGGGAGUUGCCUGACCGUAAGCUCGUCGUGGAAUGUACCGGCGAGGGUAUCUUGUUCAUUGAGGCUUAUGCCGAUGUUAGUCUUGAUCAAUUCGGGGAUAUGCUUCGGCCUCCAUUUCCUUGCUUUGAGGAGCUACUCUUUGAUGUGCCUGGCACUACUGGGAUUGUGAACUGCCCUUUGUUGCUUAUUCAGGUAACGCGCCUCAAGUGCGGAGGAAUCAUCAUAGCCAUCCGUUUCAACCACACAAUGAGCGAUGCAACAGGGUUCUUACAAUUCUUGUCAGCAGUAGCAGAGAUGGCACAAGGAGCAAGGGCACCCUCAAUUUCACCAAUAUGGGAGAGACACCUUCUUACUGCUCGGAAGCCACCUCGUGUAACAUGCAUACACCAUGAGUAUGAUGAUUCAGUUAACACCGAGGACAAAAUCUCUCUUGCUGAAGUCAAGGACCAUCGUUCCUUCUUCUUUCUGCGUAAUCAAAUAUCUGUCCUUCGAAGAAGAUAUGCACCUCCUCACCUCGGUCACUGCUCUAGCUUUGAAAUAUUAGCUGCAUGUCUCUGGAGGUGCCGCACCAUUGCCCUUCAACCAAACCCUGAUGAAGAGAUGCGUAUAAUAUGUAUUGUCAAUGCUCGUAACAGCUUUAACCCUCCCAUGCCUAAGGGCUACUAUGGCAACUGCAUUGCUUACUCAGUGGCAAAAGCAAGAGCAGGAGAUCUGUCCAGGAAUCCAAUAGGGUAUGCAGUGGAAUUGGUAAGGAAGGCCAAGGAAAAUGUUACUGAAGAGUACAUGAGAUCAGUGGCAGAUCUAAUGGUCCUCAAGGGUAGGCCUCGGUAUACAAUGGUGAAUUCCUUCCUAGUUUCAGGUGUGGCACGAGUCAGGUUUGAUGAGGUUGAUUUCGGAUGGGGUAGAGCAGUGUAUGGUGGACCUGCUAAGGGAUAUGUGGCUAGCUUUCACAUAGCAUCUAGAAAUGAGAAAGGUGAAGAUGGGAUUGUUGUUACUUUAUGUUUGCCGAACCUUGCCAUGGAAAGAUUUGUGAAGGAAUUGGAUCACUUGUUGAGGGACCAUCCCCUCCUAUGUGCCUUGUGAGGAAAGCGACCCUACUACUGUCUGAAAUGUACUAUACAAUGUGAACCAUUGAUCUGGGUUCACACUUUACACUACAAUUUUUUUUUUUUUUUAAUGUGAGAAGGAAAUAAUAAUGACCAUAUCUACAUACUGCAAUGUACUUCACUGUUGUAUCUUCUCACCCUUUUUAAUUUUUUAAAUUUUAGUUUUGUAAGGACCAUUAUAAAUUAGUGGUUUUUUAUAAAAUAAAUUAAUAAAAAUUAUCUACCCAAAAUAUAAUUUGAAUAGGUAAGAUCCAGUCAUAAUAGAUCAGAUGUAUUUUCCAUCCUUUAGAGUCCCUACCUCAUCUAUUCACCACGCGGUAA